CCCCCCGGGGAGUUGAUGAACGUCUUCGGAUCGUAAACUCUGUUAUUAGGGAAGAACAUAUGUGUAAGUAUACUGUGCACAUCUUGACGGUACCUAAUCAGAAAGCCACGGCUAACUACGUGCCAGCAGCCGCGGUAAUACGUAGGUGGCAAGCGUUAUCCGGAAUUAUUGGGCGUAAAGCGCGCGUAGGCGGUUUUUUAAGUCUGAUGUGAAAGCCCACGGCUCAACCGUGGAGGGUCAUUGGAAACUGGAAAACUUGAGUGCAGAAGAGGAAAGUGGAAUUCCAUGUGUAGCGGUGAAAUGCGCAGAGAUAUGGAGGAACCCCAGUGGCUGCAGACGA
rnacentral:rRNA from 1 species